rnacentral:rRNA from 1 species
UACGUAGGGUGCAAGCGUUAAUCGGAAUUACUGGGCGUAAAGCGUGCGCAGGCGGUUAUGCAAGAAAGGUGUGAAAUCCCCGGGCUUAACCUGGGAAACGCAUUUGUGACUGCAUAGCUGGAGUACGGCAGAAGGGGAUGGAAUUCCGCGUGUAGCAGUGAAAUGCGUAGAUAUGCGGAGGAACACCGAUGGCGAAGGCAGUCCCCUGGGCCUGUACUGACGCUCAUGCACGAAAGCGUGGGGAGCAAACAGG